UGCAGAUCGGAUGCUGGAUCUGUUGCCGUCAGCCACGGAGAGGGUGUGCGUGCAUGCGGCUCAAGGCUCCCCCACAACUUUGCAGUGAGUCUAAGAAUCAAGUGGGAGCCCCCCGUCCCCCCAAGCUGAUGGCACUCUGCUGGGGGCUUGUCUGGGCUCAGGACCUCCCCAGCUUGGGUUCAACCGCACGCUGAGCACCAGGCCAGGAGGCACGUCCCCAGGCCUGUGAUGUUGGCAACGGGGGUCCCGCCUGCUCUUAAUAAUAUGGAUCGUUACAGCGGUGAUGGCCAAGAACGUUCACGGAGUGUCUCGUCCAACCUAGUCGUUAUUAUUAAACCUCAUCUUCCCCCCUUACUGCCCAGACGAAGGAACCUGCCUUACCGGAAGGAAGUGUGGGGGGACAGCUGUGGGUGGCCGGCUGCUGCGGACACAAGUGUGAAAAAUGCGGAUUCGGACCCAGUAGACCCGGAGCUGCCUUUCUAACAAGCACCCGGCGCUGCUGCUGCCCUCUUUGGGGCCCUUGGGAGCCAGGGACUUGGAGUCAGACAGACCCAAGUUCACACGCUGUCCCUGUCAUGUAAGAGCCAUAUAUAGCUGCCAACCGGAGUGCCGUUCAGCAGGAAAAAAGGGGGUUUCUCAUGCUGGGUCCCCCAACAGUUGAACCCAAAGCAUGAGGUUUUCGCCAGCCGGGCAGCUCCCUAGGGGGACGGAUCCGCGGACGGACACUGAACGGAUGAGCCAGAAGACCCUGGAAGGCAGCCUGUUAUCCCCAAGGGUUCAGGACCCCUCGGAAACAAGGCAGCCAUUCCUAAGUACAACCUGCUCAUUUUAUAGAUGGGAAUUAAUUACUAAAUAAUUCAGGGGCAGAGGCAGGACUGAGGGGCAGGCUUUGUAGCUCCUGCCUUCCAAGGCAGGCCAGCUCCCAGCUCCCUCGGCCCUCCCUAUCUCUUGUGCUCUGCUGGGGGGAAUGGCUUCCCGGAGGGCUGGGCGCCCCUCCUCCCUGCGGGAGACGGAGCCCCGGAGCCCUGGGUGGAAGUCCGUCAGCAGGGCCCCGCUUGGACCCAGGAGGUGGCGGCCCCAUUAGGACAGCAGAAGCAGAACAGGGUUUUGUCCUCCCAAGAGGCUGUGUGUUGGCUGUUCGCAGCCAGGGCUCGGCUGGGUUCGGCUUGGCUGGCACAGUGAAGCCUUGUUUCCUUGAAUACAAAACCUGCCCCUUUCUGUCCUCGCCAGGGCCCCGGCGGGCGGCACUUCCUUCCCUAGAAGUCCAGCUCCCCGGCUCCUUCCUGCCCCCUACGCCACCCCUUCCAAGGCAGCAGCCGCUGUGGUGCCAAGAGGUGGCCCGCAGGGGUGUCCGAAGGGGUUCGGCUCCCCCCAAACUUCACCAGAGUAAACCCUGUCAAACCAACACCCCAAACAGCCUCCCUAGAAGGUGAAUGUUCCCGCAAAUGCAGCUUCCAGGCCAUUCCUCUGGUCACACGCCCCUUCUGAUCAAGCUGCGGCCCCCCAAGUCCCUACUCACUCGGGGUGCCUGCAUUCUCCCAAACAGCUCUAUCGUUUUUUGUUGUUGUUGUUGUUGUUGUUGUUUUGGCUGGGUGUAGCAAUGCCGCGGAAGCCCAGGAGAAGGAGGAUUCUGGCAGAAAGACACAGGCCACUGGCGGGUCUGUGAGGUGGGAAAUCAGCCGUGAACACAGAAGGGGGUGUUGAACGAGUGCGUCUUCCCACGUGGAAGCAAGUGUGACGGCUUUUGGAGUCACAGACCUGAGUUCAGAUCCCGGCUCCAUGGUUUCCUAGCUAUGUGGUCUUGGAGGGUUAAAUUUAACCUCUCUGUGCCCAGACCGCCUAACUGUACAAUGGUGAUGGUGAGAGUUCUCCGUCAUAGGGAUGUUGGGUGGAAUCCAGGAGCUCCUUAGCACCUAGAUAUCAUCAGUGCCUGGACUCUAUCAAUCACUGAUGCAUUUGAACAAUCUCCCCGGCAUUGCCUCCCCCACUCCAGGGUGUGGGGUGGGGGGAGGGCAGACUCUACAAGGAAGUUCCAGAUGGUGAAGCUGUCUCUACCUAGCCCUGGGCUCAAGAAGCUUUCCAUUUCCCAUCAGUCUGGGCUGGAAUCCUAGAAAUCCUGCUCUCCCAAGGGUGACAGUCUUUGGUGGGGAAAGAAACUUUACAACUCCCAACAAAGACCCUGGAGCCAAAGAGGCAGGCUCCUCAGGGCCUAGGGAAUUCCACACAGUGACGCAGAGGAGGGUUAAGGACUCAGUUUCCCCCCAGGCUGACCCUUGGAAAAGUAUGGGGCUCCCAGCCGUCCAGGUCUGGGAAACAAAACCUUCUUCCCCUGUGUGGCGGCCGCAGGCAGAAGCAGCAGUGACAAGAAGUGGGGAAAAGCCUUUCUCAAGCUGUGGGGUUGCAAAACACCCCCUUCCUGGGCUUCCUGAUUGUUGCUUGGGUACACAGCCCCAUCCCGCCCUGUCCUCGUGCCUCAGCCAAGGUGGGUCAGCACCUCUCCACUCAGACCACACCCCUGGGCUGUUCCCCCUUCAGGGGCCAGGGGCAAGGGCAUGGGCAACAAGAGGUGGGGAGGGGUACCACAGGGAAGGGGGCUGUGAGCUUUAACACCCCAUCCCCCAGCCUGUCCCCUGCACAACCGUGGUUGUGAAGAGUUUGGUUGUCCAUCGCAGUCACAACUUAGUGGACUCAGGGAUGGACCCGAAGGGGACCAUU